UGCAUAUGCAGUUCAGGCCACUCCCACACACACGUGACGUGAAAUGUCGAACUACAACCGAAGCACGGUGGAGUAGACACACAUCUGCAGCUCUACAGGUCACUUGAAGCUCACAGAAACCACUGGUGCUGAAACAAGGACUGCUGGGUAAUGGCUGCUCUUGGGGCUUUUCUCACUCUCGCCGUCUGUCUCCUGCUGGGUCAUCAGACAUUUGCUAAAAACGACUUUCCCUGCCAGCGCUCCAAUUGGAACAACGGCUACAACACCUUUCUCAAACGGCACAUUAUCUCCGGCAUGCCCACUUCUCUCGAUCAGAAUGAAUGGCAGGCGUUCAUCGAGAAUCAUACAAGCUGUGACAGACCAACCCAGUCCUUUCUCAGUCCACAAGACCUGGACAGAGUCAAGGAUGUGUGCACGAACGACGGAGGGGUGACGUAUAAGGAGAACCUGUGCAUCAGCCGGCAGUCUUUCACUUUUGUCACCGUGAGGAUUAAUCAGACAUGUGGAAUCAGGAGCGUCCAAGAAGAAACCAGACAUCUGAUCCUGGCCUGUGAGGUUCUGGGCAACAACUGUCUGCCAGUCCAUUUUGAGGGAAACCCUGAGAACUUACAACCAAAUAACAACGCCACAGGCUGCCAGGACCCUAAAGAUCACGCUCAUAGCUUAACAGUGACGUGGCUCUGGUUGUUAGCUCUUCCUCUUGUUAUUAUAUAUGGAUAUUAGAUUACGUUUUAGACUAGUAAUAAAUCACCAACAUAUCAGUCAUAAUGUUUUGAACAAUUUCAAAUUUUUAA